CGACAGUUAGGAAUCUUCGGCAAUGGGCGAAAGCCUGACCGAGCGACGCCGCGUGGAGGAUGAAGGCCUUCGGGUCGUAAACUCCUAAAAGAGGGACGAUAGUGACGGUACCUCUUGAAAAGCACCGGCUAACUCCGUGCCAGCAGCCGCGGA
rnacentral:rRNA from 1 species